ACCAUCCUAAGGUAGCGAAAUUCCUUGUCGGGUAAGUUCCGACCUGCACGAAUGGAGUAACGACUUCCCUACUGUCUCAACCAUGAACUCGGCGAAAUUGCAGUACGAGUAAAGAUGCUCGUUUCGCGCAGCAGGACGGAAAGACCCCGUGACCUUUACUAUAGUUUGGUAUUGGUGUUUGGUUUGGCUUGUGUAGGAUAGGUGGGAGACUGUGAAGCAUGGACGCUAGUUUGUGUGGAGUCGUUGUUGAAAUACCACUCUGGUCAAUCUGGAUGUCUAACUUCGGGCCAUGAUCUGGUUCAGGGACAGUGCCUGAUGGGUAGUUUAACUGGGGCGGUUGCCUCCUAAAGUGUAACGGAGGCGCCCAAAGGUUCCCUCAGCCUGGUUGGCAAUCAGGUGUUGAGUGUAAGUGCACAAGGGAGCUUGACUGUGAGACUGGCAGGUCGAGCAGGGACGAAAGUCGGGACUAGUGAUCCGGCGGUACGUUGUGGAACGGCCGUCGCUCAACGGAUAAAAGGUACCUCGGGGAUAACAGGCUGAUCUUGCCCAAGAGUCCAUAUCGACGGCAUGGUUUGGCACCUCGAUGUCGGCUCGUCGCAUCCUGGGGCUGGAGUCGGUCCCAAGGGUUGGGCUGUUCGCCCAUUAAAGCGGUACGCGAGCUGGGUUCAGAACGUCGUGAGACAGUUCGGUCCCUAUCCGCUGCGCGCGUUGGAAAUUUGAGAAAGGCUGUCCUUAGUACGAGAGGACCGGGACGGACGAACCUCUGGUAUGUCAGUUGUACCGCCAGGUGCAUGGCUGAUUGGCUACGUUCGGGAGGGAUAACCGCUGAAAGCAUCUAAGCGGGAAGCCUGUUUCGAGAUGAGAUUUCCUGGCACUUUUGGUGUGUGAGGCUCCUUAUAGAUGAUGAGGUUGAUAGGCCGGGUAUGGAAGCGAGGACUGAAGACUCGUGGAGUUGACUGGUACUAAUAGGCCGAAGGCUUACUUU
rnacentral:rRNA from 1 species